rnacentral:rRNA from 1 species
AGUCAAUAGAUACCCCGGUAGUCCACGCCGUAAACGAUGAGUACUAGGUGUAGGAGGUAUCGACUCCUUCUGUGCCGCAGUUAAACACAAUAAGUACUCCGCCUGGGAAGUACGGUCGCAAGAUUAAAACUCAAAGGAAUUGACGGGGGCCGUGCACAAGCAGCGGAGCAUGUGGUUUAAUUCGAAGCAACGCGAAGAACCUUACCUAGACUUGACAUCUCCUGAAUAGUGUAGAGAUACAUGAAGCCCUUCGGGGUCGAGGAAGACAGGUGGUGCAUGGUUGUCGUCAGCUCGUGUCGUGAGAUGUUGGGUUAAGUCCCGCAACGAGCGCAACCCUUAUUACUAGUUGCUACCAUUAAGUUGAGCACUCUAGUGAGACUGCCC